rnacentral:rRNA from 1 species
CACACGACUCUCGGCAACGGAUAUCUCAGCUCUCGCAUCGAUGAAGAACGUAGCGAAAUGUGAUACCUGGUGUGAAUUGCAGAAUCCCGCGAACAAUCGAGUCUUUGAACGCAAGUUGCGCCUGAGGCCCUUGGGCCGAGGGCACGGCUGCCUGGGCGUCACGC